AGUAACACGUGGGUAACCUGCCCCGAUGAUUGGGACAACCCGAGGAAACUCGGGCUAAUACCGAAUGUGCCCUCUGGCCAUAAGGCCGCUGGGGAAAGGAAGCUUCGGCCUCCGCAUCGGGAUGGGCCCGCGGCCCAUUAGCUUGUUGGUGAGGUAACGGCUCACCAAGGCUACGAUGGGUAGCUGGUCUGAGAGGACGAUCAGCCACAUUGGGACUGAGACACGGCCCAG
rnacentral:rRNA from 1 species